CAUGGCCGUGCGCCUAGCUGCACAGCCCUGAUGAGGUGCCUGCACCCUUAUCAGGCAGAGCCCGAGUCUGAGGACACAGGCAGCCCAGCACGUUCUGAAUGCCACACAGCGACCUCCCUAAGCUGGCCUCUGCCAGAGCACCUCACCCCUCUGAAAUCUCUUGCCAAGAAGUCAGCUGCCACCAACCCUGACAUAGCAGCCACUAUGCAGCCAGAGAGUGCCAGCCAGGAACCCAACACUGGCCCCACACCCUGACACCUGCAGAUCUAGCGCACACGGCUGGGCACCUGCACCGACCCUGCCACCCCCGCCCCCUGGCCAUGAGAGCAGGGACAACUGGACGCAUUUCACCGAAGAGAAACAGGCUGGGGAGCCCCGGAACCACUGCCCAGUCUCUUGACAAGGACAGGUCAGGCUCGGAGGCUCUGACGGCAGCUCAGCACCUCUGCCUGACACCACUUGGACACUGCCGAGCCAUCUUCCAAAGCUGGCUGAGGAGGACCCAGGACCAGGGAGCUCAAGGGACCUGCCAAAGGCCACCCGAUGUUGCCAUGCUCCAACGCUGGGCCCCAGCCGUGGGCCUCCCAUGUGGGGACAACGUGGAUGCAAAAACUCAUGUUCGAGUGGCUUUGUCGACUGAGAAUCCUCCUCAGCGUCACCGCAACUGUUUCAGAGUCACCACUAGCCCUGUCCUCCAAAUCUGGGACCCUUCCAGCUCCGUCCAAAACCUGGCCCUGAACCACUUCAGGGCAACUCAGAGACAAAACAAUGAAAAUAACCACACAAACACCUCCCUAAAGGACUACCACCCCUAGGAGAGGUCAGAGGGCCAGCCUGGCUCACCACAGGGCUGACGGGACAGUCCCCUAGGAAACCCUCCAGAAGGCAGCUUGGUCUGGGCCUUUGAAGGGUCAUGACUGAACCUGGUCGAUCUCGCUCCAGGAUCUGUGGGGCUCAACAAACGGCCACACGGAAGCGCUGGAGAGCUAUGUGGACUGGGAGGACGCCGCCGGCCAUGGUGACAGGGCAGCAGGUGAAACCGGACUGUGGCCAGCAGACUGGGUCCUGCACUGCAUGCUAAGCUCACCGACUUGGACGACAGUACACCAGAAAUCUACCCUGCAGAUGUGUUCAGUACGGACUCCAGAUGUUUUAAGUGCUGUUGUUAGCUGUGACAAGGGACCACCUUGAGUAUUCCUGAAGAGGGAACUGAAUACAUACUUCAAGGUGACUUCAAACAGCUGGCCCUGUGACAGCUGAAUGGGGAAAGAGGUAUAUAAAGG